rnacentral:rRNA from 1 species
UACGGAGGGUGCAAGCGUUAUCCGGAUUUACUGGGUUUAAAGGGUGCGUAGGCGGCUUCUUAAGUCAGUGGUGAAAGCCUAGUGCUUAACACUAGAAAGGCCAUUGAUACUGGGAAGCUUGAGUCAAGGAGAGGUAAGCAGAAUUUAUGGUGUAGCAGUGAAAUGCUUAGAUACCAUAAGGAAUACCAAUAGCGAAGGCAGCUUACUGGCCUUGUACUGACGCUGAGGCACGAAAGCGUGGGGAGCAAAC